GGCAACGUGCCUGAGUGGUUAAAGGGUAUGACUCGAAUGAACUAGUUCAAAUCGUGACAUCAUAUGGCUUCGGCCGCGUAGGUUCGAGUCCUGCCGUUGUCG
rnacentral:tRNA from 1 species